rnacentral:rRNA from 1 species
AAUAGAUACCCAGGUAGUCCACGCCGUAAACGUUGGGCGCUAGAUGUGGGGGCCAUUCCACGGUUUCCGCGUCGUAGCUAACGCAUUAAGCGCCCCGCCUGGGGAGUACGGCCGCAAGGCUAAAACUCAAAGGAAUUGACGGGGGCCCGCACAAGCGGCGGAGCAUGCGGAUUAAUUCGAUGCAACGCGAAGAACCUUACCAAGGCUUGACAUAUACGAGAACACUGCAGAAAUGUAGGACUCUUUGGACACUCGUAUACAGGUGGUGCAUGGUUGUCGUCAGCUCGUGUCGUGAGAUGUUGGGUUAAGUCCCGCAACGAGCGCAACCCUCGUCGCAUGUUGCCAGCACGUAAAGGUGGGAACUCAUGUGAGACUGCCGGGGUCAACUCGGAGGAAGGGUGGGGAUGACGUCAAAUCAUCAUGCCCCUUAUGUCUUGGGCUUCACGCAUGCUACAAUGGCCGGUACAAAGGGCUGCAAUACCGUAAGGUGGAGCGAAUACCCAAAAAGCCGGUCUCAGUUCGGAUUGAGGU